ACACAUGCAAGUCGAGCGGAAACGAGUUAUCUGAACCUUCGGGGAACGAUAACGGCGUCGAGCGGCGGACGGGUGAGUAAUGCCUAGGAAAUUGCCCUGAUGUGGGGGAUAACCAUUGGAAACGAUGGCUAAUACCGCAUAAUGCCUACGGGCCAAAGAGGGGGACCUUCGGGCCUCUCGCGUCAGGAUAUGCCUAGGUGGGAUUAGCUAGUUGGUGAGGUAAUGGCUCACCAAGGCGACGAUCCCUAGCUGGUCUGAGAGGAUGAUCAGCCACACUGGAACUGAGACACGGUCCAGACUCCUACGGGAGGCAGCAGUGGGGAAUAUUGCACAAUGGGCGCAAGCCUGAUGCAGCCAUGCCGCGUGUGUGAAGAAGGCCUUCGGGUUGUAAAGCACUUUCAGUCGUGAGGAAGGUGGUGUAGUUAAUAGCUGCAUUAUUUGACGUUAGCGACAGAAGAAGCACCGGCUAACUCCGUGCCAGCAGCCGCGGUAAUACGGAGGGUGCGAGCGUUAAUCGGAAUUACUGGGCGUAAAGCGCAUGCAGGUGGUUUGUUAAGUCAGAUGUGAAAGCCCGGGGCUCAACCUCGGAAUAGCAUUUGAAACUGGCAGACUAGAGUACUGUAGAGGGGGGUAGAAUUUCAGGUGUAGCGGUGAAAUGCGUAGAGAUCUGAAGGAAUACCGGUGGCGAAGGCGGCCCCCUGGACAGAUACUGACACUCAGAUGCGAAAGCGUGGGGAGCAAACAGGAUUAGAUACCCUGGUAGUCCACGCCGUAAACGAUGUCUACUUGGAGGUUGUGGCCUUGAGCCGUGGCUUUCGGAGCUAACGCGUUAAGUAGACCGCCUGGGGAGUACGGUCGCAAGAUUAAAACUCAAAUGAAUUGACGGGGGCCCGCACAAGCGGUGGAGCAUGUGGUUUAAUUCGAUGCAACGCGAAGAACCUUACCUACUCUUGACAUCCAGAGAACUUUCCAGAGAUGGAUUGGUGCCUUCGGGAACUCUGAGACAGGUGCUGCAUGGCUGUCGUCAGCUCGUGUUGUGAAAUGUUGGGUUAAGUCCCGCAACGAGCGCAACCCUUAUCCUUGUUUGCCAGCGAGUAAUGUCGGGAACUCCAGGGAGACUGCCGGUGAUAAACCGGAGGAAGGUGGGGACGACGUCAAGUCAUCAUGGCCCUUACGAGUAGGGCUACACACGUGCUACAAUGGCGCAUACAGAGGGCAGCAAGCUAGCGAUAGUGAGCGAAUCCCAAAAAGUGCGUCGUAGUCCGGAUUGGAGUCUGCAACUCGACUCCAUGAAGUCGGAAUCGCUAGUAAUCGUGGAUCAGAAUGCCACGGUGAAUACGUUCCCGGGCCUUGUACACACCGCCCGUCACACCAUGGGAGUGGGCUGCAAAAGAAGUAGGUAGUUUAACCUUCGGGAG
rnacentral:rRNA from 1 species